UGAUAGGCUGUUAAUAAGGAUGACAGCUUCUAUCGAGCAUAGGUCGCUGUAGGCCAUAUGAAUUGGUUGUCCUCUUAACCAAGGAGUGUGGAGACACUUGUAUGGCAUUCAGGUGAAGUAUAAAAGUACAUCAUCAUUGAACGUGACCAACUCCAGAGCAUUCUGCUGUCGAGAAUGUCUCUGAUGGGAUAUAGGUAUAAGUAUCCCUUAGACCUGAGAUCGCCUCAGUGACUUGCAAGCAACUUACUGUGCUUUGAUACUGGACUAACUGAAUUUUUAAUUUAAUGAUGGAAGGCUUCUGGGCAUAGUCAAGUACUUGCGAAGUCAGAGUGUGAUCGAGAUGGGAUUGACCACUCCAAGAGUUGGAGAAGAAUGAGUCACUGUAUUUCAAUUUAGCAAAACUUUGACCAGGGUAAUCCAUCAGAUGGAUUUGAUAUUUUAAAAUACAAUGUGGACAACCUAAUCUGAGGUGUCCUAUGAUCAUUAAGGAGAUAAAUUAUAUAAAAACUAUAUCCGCAUGGGUUUUAAGGAUGUUGUUUUACAUAUUUGACCUAUCCGAUCGUCGGGUACCAUUGCUAGAUGGUCACUUCGAAUGGUACAAAAAUUUAUUUCUAUGCUACUGAUUUAGGUUCGAACCUAUGAGGUCACACACAUUAGAGUCCAUGAUC
rnacentral:lncRNA from 1 species